CGCUAUCACUCCUACGGGAGGCAGCAGUGGGGAAUAUUGCACAAUGGGGGAAACCCUGAUGCAGCCAUGCCGCGUGUGUGAAGAAGGCCUUCGGGUUGUAAAGCACUUUCAGUAGGGAGGAAGGUAGUGUAGUUAACACCUGCAUUAUUUGACGUUACCUACAGAAGAAGCACCGGCUAACUCCGUGCCAGCAGCCGCGGUAAUACGGAGGGUGCGAGCGUUAAUCGGAAUUACUGGGCGUAAAGCGCAUGCAGGCGGCCUGUUAAGUCAGAUGUGAAAGCCCGGGGCUUAACCUCGGAAUUGCAUUUGAAAACUGGCAGGCUAGAGUCUUGUAGAGGGGGUAGAAUUUCAGGUGUAGCGGUGAAAUGCGUAGAGAUCUGAAGGAAUACCAGUGGCGAAGGCGGCCCCCCUGGACAAAGACUGACGCUCAGAUGCGAAAGCGUGGGGAGCAAACAGGAUUAGAUACCCUGGUAG
rnacentral:rRNA from 1 species